UCUCCGUUAGUGAACCAGCGGAGGGAUCAUUACCGAGUCUCGGACUCCUAAACCAUCGUGAACCUACCAUUCGUUACCUCGGCGGGCGGCUCCAGGGCGGAGCCUCCGGCCCCCUCGGGGGUGCCCGCCGGCGGCCAGACAGACCAGUAUCGUAUCUAAGCCCCUCUAAGCACCUACGAGAGCAGAACAAUCAAAACUUUCAACAAUAGAUCUCUUAGCUCUAGCAUCGAUGAAGAACGCAGC
rnacentral:misc_RNA from 1 species